GAGAAGCUUGCUUCUCUGAUGUUAGCGGCGGACGGGUGAGUAACAUGUGGAUAACCUACCUGUUAGACUGGGAUAACUUCGGGAAACCGGAGCUAAUACCGGACAAUAUUUUGAACCGCAUGGUUCAAAAAGUGAAAGACGGUCUUGCUGUCACUUAUGGAUGGAUCCGCGCUGCAGUAGCUAGUUGGUAAGGUUUUGGCUUACCUGGCGCGAUGCAUAGCCGACCUGAGAGGGUGAUCGGCCACACNGGAACUGAGACACGGUCCAGACNCCACNGGAGGCUGCCCUCGGGAAUCUUCCGCANUGGGCGAAGGCCUGAUUGA
rnacentral:rRNA from 1 species